rnacentral:lncRNA from 1 species
CGAGUCAGGCUAGGCCAAGGUUUGAAAGGGAUCGUCUCAUGCCCGCCCAUAGGGUGGGACCUAAGUGGGCUUUUCGGGCCAGGCUGCCCAUUGCCUUUUUUUUUCCCCCUUAUUUCCAUCAUAAACCCAUUUAAGUAAAUGUCUUGUCUUUUUACUUUAAUUUAUUUUUAUGUUACUCCAUUUACUUAUGUUUACAUGUAAAUAAG